UAUCUCAUAGCAGUUGUAGCGUGCAUGCGCCAACUGCCUGUGUAUGCAUGCGCAGUAAAAUGAAGUAUACUUUGACAGGCGCACAUUCGACUGUACGCAGACGCUAAGUGUUCGAGUCAAAACCGAAGUAUACUUUGGGCUUUAGACUAUGAUUGUGAUAGAUGAGUUUGGCUCAACUAAUACCUCCGAUUCUAAGAAAACUGAGUUAGACUAUUUUAUAGUUCACAUUUGGCUGGACAAUAAAAAAAAAAUCUCUGAAGCCAUUUUUCUCAGAUGGCUCACCCAGGGGAGUGCCGCUGCCAUCCGCCGGGGGAUGGAGUACCCCGACCGCCCGGACACAGGGAACGGCCGCCAUCCACAAGGAGUGUAGGGACUGGACUCCCUGACCGCCUGGAGCGAUGGAGCCGCUGCCAGUGGCGGAGGAGUGCCCUGCCGGCCGCCAGAAACACGGAGGUGUCGAGGAAAGACCGCCGUCCACGAGGCGAUGAGGGAAUCGACUACCCGACUGCCUGGAGUGGUAGGGCUGCUGCCAGGGGCAGAGGAGUGUCCCCACGCGACGCCAGAAACGUGAAGGGGCGUUCUGUCCACUGGGGGUCGGAGGUUUGACUCUGGUCUGCCCGGGGAGGAGCAGCUGUUGGCCACCUGAGAGGGUGGAGUGAUCCAGGACCACGCGACGGCGCAUCAGAGAACUGGUCGAAGAAGGCAGGGAUGAGGUGGGGUGUACGUCAUGCCGGAGACUGCCCGGCCUGAGGCAAUGCAGAGAGGAGUGUAGCGCGGAGGGCGGGGCCGGGCCGGAAUGAUGCACGCCUGGACCCCAAUCAGCCUGAUGAGGCGAGCAAGGGAUAAAUGUGACCGGAGACGACAGUUGGAGAGAGAGAGAAUUACAGGCAGCUGCCCUGUAUGUGUUUAUGUUUGGAGAAGCAUCAACCCGAAUUUACCUUCUCCAUGAGCAGACCACAGGC